CUCUGACUCACCCAGGAAAAAGCACUUGAAUUAAGAUGCAACUCAGAAAAGCCUGAAGAAGUCCAUUCAUCCUCCAGGAUCUCACACCUUCACUGUGGGGGAGUGAAAUGCAAGGCUAGGAACAUGGGGACAGUGAUGUGUGUGUCUGUACAGGUGAGAGCAGAUGCCUGUAGAGACCAGAAGAAGUCUUCAAAUCCCUUGAAGCUGGAGAUACAGGCAGUUGUGAACUGUGCUAAGUGUAGGUGCUAAGAACUGAAUUCAGGGUGUUGUACUGACCUGGAACUUGCCAAGCAGGCUGUGCUCGCCCACUAAGUAAACCCCACAGAUAUCUCUGUCUCUGCCUCCGCAGCACUGGGAUUAGAAGCUCAGGAGACUGUGCCUGGGGUCCUGCCUCCAGCACUCCCCUCUUCACACAGGAAAUGACUAAGCAGCACAGUGUCUGUCUCAUAGAAGAGACUCAUCAGUUCCUG
rnacentral:lncRNA from 1 species